rnacentral:rRNA from 1 species
GUGGGGAAUAUUGCGCAAUGGACGAAAGUCUGACGCAGCGACGCCGCGUGUGGGAUGACGGUCUUCGGAUUGUAAACCACUGUCGGGAGGGACGAAUACGCCGCAAGGCGGGUGACGGUACCUCCAAAGGAAGCACCGGCUAACUCCGUGCCAGCAGCCGCGGUAAUACGGAGGGUGCGAGCGUUGUCCGGAAUCACUGGGCGUAAAGGGCGCGUAGGCGGCCUGAUAAGUAGGGGGUGAAAUCCUGCGGCUUAACCGCAGGGCUGCCUUCUAAACUGUCAGGCUUGAGCACAGUAGAGGCAGGUGGAAUUCCCGGUGUAGCGGUGGAAUGCGUAGAGAUCGGGAAGAACAUCAGUGGCGAAGGCGGCCUGCUGGGCUGUUGCUGACGCUGAGGCGCGACAGCGUGGGGAGCAAACAGGAUUAGAAACCCGUGUAGUCC